rnacentral:lncRNA from 1 species
GAAUGGGUGGACAGUUAGAGUAGUGAGUGAGUAGAUGGAUGGGUGACAGAGUAGUGAGUGAGUAGAUGGAUGGGUGAACAGUUAGAAGUAGUGAGUGAGUGGAUGGAUGGGUGGACAGUUAGAGUAGUGAGUGAGAAGAUGGAUGGGUGAACAGUUAGAGUAGUGAGUGAGUGGAUGGAUGGGUGGACAGUUAGAGUAGUGAGUGAGAAGAUGGAUGUGUGGACAGUUAGAGUAGUGAGUGAGUAGAUGGAUGGGUGAACAGUUAGAGUAGUGAGUGAGUAGAUGGAUGGGUGGACAGUUAGAGUAGUGAGUGAGUAGAUGGAUGGGUGGACAGUUAGAGUAGUGAGUGAGUAGAUGGAUGGGUGGCCAGUUAGAGCAGUGAGUGAGUGGAUGGAUGGGUGGACAGUUAGAGUAGUGAGUGAGUAGAUGGAUGGGUGGACAGUUAGAAUAGUGAGUGAGUG